AUCAACUUUCGAUGGUAGGAUAGAGGCCUACCAUGGUGGUAACGGGUAACGGGGUGUUAGGGCACGACACCGGAGAGGGAGCCUGAGAAACGGCUACCACAUCCAAGGAUGGCAGCAGGCGCGCAAAUUACCCAAUCCCGACACGGGGAGGUAGUGACAAUAAAUAACAAUACGGGGUCUUUUUGGGUCUCGUAAUUGGAAUGAGUACAAUUUAAAUCUCUUAACGAGGAACAAUUGGAGGGCAAGUCUGGUGCCAGCAGCCGCGGUAAUUCCAGCUCCAAUAGCGUAUAUUAAAGUUGUUGCAGUUAAAAAGCUCGUAGUUGAAUUUCGGGGUCAGUAAGUUGGUCGUGCCACUGGUAUGUACUGGCUUUACUGAUUCCUCCUUCUUGAAGAACUGUAAUGCCAUUAAUUUGGUGUUGCAGGGAAACAGGACUGUUACUUUGAAAAAAUUAGUGUGUUUAAAGCAGGCUAACGCUUGAAUACAUUAGCAUGGAAUAAUGAAAUAGGACGUUUGAUCCUAUUUUGUUGGUUUCUAGGAUCGACGUAAUGAUUAAUAGGGAUAGUUGGGGGCAUUAGUAUUCAAUUGUCAGAGGUGAAAUUCUUGGAUUUAUUGAAGACUAACUACUGCGAAAGCAUCUGCCAAGGAUGUUUUCAUUAAUCAAGAACGAAAGUUAGGGGAUCGAAGACGAUCAGAUACCGUCGUAGUCUUAACCAUAAACUAUGCCGACUAGGGAU
rnacentral:sRNA from 1 species